rnacentral:lncRNA from 1 species
UUUUUUUCAGGACCGGUCUAGUCCAAUCCAAAAUAGAAGUAGACGGUUAUGGUCAUAUGGGAAAACAUACGAAAUAUAUUCAGAUUUUAUUUAGUUUUCUCCAAUAUCUCAUUUCUGAAAUUCUGGACUUGAUAACAAAUUUGAGAGAAACCUUAGUGGGUUAAUGCUGCGUAAUACAAAGCUUCCUUGAUAUUGAUAUGAAAGUUUACAGAAAACAAUAAACUUAUUAAACAUUUGACAUGAAAACUUCCCUGAAUUGGACCUCUUUGUUUAUUUUUUUUAAAUUUAUUAAGCUUGAAUAUACUCCCUCCGUCCCAUAGUUAUAGACUGAUUUCUUUUAGCACAUAGUUUAAGAAAAUCAGUUUAAGUGACAAUUUUAACAAAAAUUUUCCACAUAUACCUCUUAAUAUGGAAUUAAUGAAUAAAUUAAGUACUCCUUACUUAUCACAUUGAAACUCUCAACUUAAUUGAUCAUUUUAAUCUACAUAAACUUUCAACCAAUCACAAAAUGUUUGUUAUUCCAAAUUCAUUUAUUGAGCCUAAAAAGUUGAAUUCUUUUAUUGAGAAUACAACAACAUUAAAUGUAAUGAUAACAAUAAUGACAUUGAAUGUUGUUUCUUCAAAAAAAAAAAAAGUAAUGGUUGAAUAUUUAUUAUAAGGGCAUAAAAGUAAAACAAUGAACCAACUAAAUUUUAUAAAUAGUAAGUAGCCUAUAUAUUGGGACAUCCCAAAAUAGAAAAUCAGCUUAUAACUAUGGGACGGAGGGAGUAUAAAACAUUCACUGGGUAGCUUUCCUCUUUGUUUUAGGCAUGACUUGUUGAGAAGCUUUGCAUGACCUAAGCAAGAGAAAAUAAGUGUUGUGGUUGCCAUUAGUAUGACUUAAAUGUUUAUCUUGAUUUGAGCCCAAUAGCAUUGCUGGUUGAAGCAAUCAUGGCAUUCUCAUUUGCUCAUGAGGUAUUUACUCUGUUAGGAACCUUUUUUUGUUAUUUUCUUAGUAAAACAAAAAUGAUGCACAUGAAUAAUAAUAAUAAAUAAAUAAAAACAAAGAAUUGUGACCGUUCCCAUUAAAUAUUAAUUAGUAGCUUGACAAAUGCGAUGCGUGACAAAGAAUAAUUUAUAUUAAUACUUUAAAUAUUAUUAUAUUCAUCCACCCUACAAAAAAAAGUCUUAUUUUAUAAAAAUUAAAUAUAUAAGAAAAAUAAAGUGUAUGAAAAAGAGAUCCGUAGGAUUAUGUUUGUUUGCAAGGAAUAUAAUCCGGGAUUAUAAUCUCAUGGAUUAUAAUCCCAAGACUAUUAAUCCUAAGAUUAAAUUGUUCUUGUCACAUGUUUGUUUUUUGGAAUUAUUUACCUUUUACUAAUUUAUUUAUUUAACAAUCAUAAAAUGCCAUAAAUAUAACAUUUUAUCAAAAAUGACCAUAAUACACUCCAAAAUUCUGAUUACAUUAUUUUAAGGGUCUUUUGUCAAAAAAUUACAUUUUUUCCCUUUACAACAUCACAUUACUUAUUUUAUCCAUUUAUUCAUAACUCAAUCAUUUACAUGAAAAAUAGCAAAACAUGUCUGAAAAUUUUUCUUUUCUGGGAAACAUCAAUAUAUGAUAUUCUAAUGAACAUAUAUUUUUUCUAGAAUUUUUCAAUUCUGUUUACUAAUUUUAAAUGGUCCAAAAUAGUCAGAUCUUGCAACAUUUUUUAUAAAUCGAAAUUUUGUCCAACAAUUUUGAAAAUUUCAGGACAUACUCCUGUUAUGAACUCCCAGUAAAAAAAAUUCAAUUUUUGGAGUUAACCAUAAAGAGUUAUUCAAGUUUACUUUUAAAAUAGUCCUUUUUGUAAAAUCCAUAACUUUCAUUCUACACAUCCAAAAAUUACCAUCUUUUUACUGGAUCUUAAUAACUCAUCAUAUUAUCAUACCAAAUUUUUCUAGAAUUUUGAAAUAAUGGAAAAAGGACUAAAAUGCCCCUACAAGCAACUGACCAGGAGCUGUCCUUUCCCUUUUCUUCACAAGCUGGAGUGCUUCGACUAAAACAACCAUCAUGGAUAGUAAAAUUAACAUAUUUGAGUGCUACUACUUGAGUUUAAAAACUAGCUUACAUGUCUACCACCCCUCUUUGAUGGAUCGUAAAAAUAAGGUGUAGAUCUUAAAUGGUGGUUGAUCAAAGUGGAAGAAAGUUAGGGUUUUCUAGCCCUUUGGAAUAAAGUUUUACAUCUUCUUCCUUUAAUCCAUACAUGCAACACUCAAAAGGGUUAGAUCCAUACAUGCAACACUUAAAUACAUGUAGAUCUAAAGUUUUGAAGUUCAAAAAUAUCAACUUUUCAUUUAAUCAAACCAUCAAAAGAAAUAAAUACAAAAGCUUAGAACUUUGGGAUUAUACCUUGAUUUAAUGGCUACCCUUCUUGCUUUUCCAAAGUAGGAGAUGAAUUUUGGGAGCAUGAAGAUCCAAUCUCUCCUUCUUUCUUCCCUCGUACCCACAGUUUUCUCCCUCUUCUAUUUUGCUUCUUUUGCUUUUCUUUUAGUGAUGAGAGAAAUUAAAGAGUAAAGUAACUAUUUUGAUAAUUAAAGUGGGAUGAGUAAUUGGUAUUGGUGAAUUAGAAUAGAUACAAUCUAUGUAUGUAUCAUCAAUUGUCCAACACUUUUCUCUCUCCUCCUUAUCUUCAAUUUUACUUGCACAAUUAAAUAA